rnacentral:misc_RNA from 1 species
UUAACUAUUAUAUAGUACUCAGACGUCAAAGAUAGUAGAGUUUUUGGCCUCUGGCGGGCGCUGUCAGCCGGGGCCAACGCCAGAAGAGGCGGCCCGCCAAAGCAACAAAGUUUUAUAUUCAAGGGUUUUCAGACAGCCCCAUCCGUUUGCGGCAUCUCUGCGACAAAAAGACGAGACCCGACGUGGAUAUGCCCUUACGGGUACCACAUAGUUUAAUGAUCCUUCCGCAGGUUCACCUACGGAAA